AUCACCUAUUUAAAAAGUGUACCUAAGGCACUGCUGUGCUUUUCAGAUUGAUCUGAAAGAGCAGAUUGGAACGUGGUGUUUGGCUUCCCACUGAAUUUCUGUCCAGCCACGUACAAGCUCCAAUUCACACAGUUCAGAGAAACAGGCAUGUGUGACUUUUCAACAUCAACUUGUAUCCACUGAGUUCUUGCAGAUAGAGCAAGAAGCAUCAUACCAGAAAUAGGCAGCACAUGGAAAGAAAUUCCUCUACAGGACUUGGAAAGUGAAAGCUGGGGAAGGCCAUGAAAAGGAAGAAAAAAUUUGUUUAGCAGCCUCCUUCUAAGACUCACAGAAAGACAAAGCACAGAUCCUGAAAAUCAAAAGUGUUGCAUCAAUAUGACAGAAGCCUGGAUGGUGUUGGAGGUGAAAUCUAGGCCAAACUUCAGACUCUAAUCUGUAGAUACACACAUCUUGGUUCGUCUCCCUGCGUUCUCUCUGUGACCACAGGAUGGGAGAAAAAGGACUUCAUUUCAUUUCAAGGUUCAUUUAACCACAGAACUAAUACCUCACAUAA